GUGCUCACUUCAGCAAUACACAUACAUUCUAAAACUGGAAUGAGAUAGAGAAGAUCACCAUGGUCCUUGUGCUAGGAUGACACACAGGUUCAUAAAAUGUUCCUUAUUUUA